AGAAUGUGCAGUCCAGCAUUCAUGUUCAUAUUUGUGUGAAGUACUCAAGUGAAUACCAAGUUGUUUCCCUUUUAGUCCUCUUCUUUCUCGUUGCAGGUGGCUUGUUCCUCCUGAGCGCUCUCUUGCACCCCUGACACGUGGCUGCUCAUCUUCCCUCCACACUGGCUACUUCACUCUGCUUCUUCAGAAGGCCUCUCCCUUGUCAGCAUGGAGCUCCUCCUUUAGCGGCUGCUUCUGAACACUGGGUUGGAUCCUCCCCUUGUUGUACAUGUUAUACUAACACAGUUUCUGGGGCAAACUGUUCCGUUCGUUCUUAGAAACAGAACACAUACUUGAAACUUUCCCUCCUUAAGGGCAUUUCCCUGAAUUUGUAGCACUCACCCCCCCCCCCACAACUAGGCCCCUUAAAACUGAGUUGCUAUAGUUUGGAUCUGGAAUGUCUGCAAAGGUUCAUGUAUCCCCAGCUCGGGAUUUUUGGGAGGUGGUGGGAAACUUUAAGAGAUGAGGCUUGCUGAGAGGCUUUCUGAUCAUUGGAAGCAUAAUCAGAGCAAGUAUUGAAAAUAAUAAUUUGGCCUUUUUAUUUGGGUGAACCCAAAUGAGAGACAUUUGGAGGCUGCUAUGUUUGGGGUAGGUAUCCCCCAAAGGUCCACGUGUUAAACUGUUGGUCCCCAGAGUGGUGCCAUUAGAACUGUUAAGAGUCAGGGUCGAGUGGAAGAUCCUUAGGGGGGCUAUAGAACCCCAGUCUCUUCCUCCCCUUCAGUUUUACACCACAAGAUGCUCCCACUGUGAUGUACUGCUUCACCACAGGCCUAAAGCAAUGGGGCCAAUAGAUCAUGGACUGGAACCUUCAAAUCUGUGAGCCAAAAUAAACCUCUUCUCUUUAUGAGUUUAUAAUCUCAGGCAGUUCAUUAUAGCAAUGCAAAGCUAACUAGGGCCAAAAGAAAUAAGAGAUGGAAAAAUCAAUUCUCCAAGAAGUAGUAGACCCCCUUUAUGAUCAUUUCUUGUAUUUGCAUUAAGUAUUUCCUGUGGUAUCCUCUUAAAAAC
rnacentral:lncRNA from 1 species